rnacentral:rRNA from 1 species
AAAGCUCGUAGUCGGAUUUCAGAUUUCUUUUAGCAUGCUUUUAUGGCUUGUUACAAGACAUCUUCUUUGACAGAAGGCUUCUUGGUAUUGAUUUACUGAGUUGUCCGACUGUCUCUUUUACUUUGAGAAAAUUAGAGUGUUCAAAGCAGGUCCAUCGCCUGAAUAUUACUCUUGGAAUAAUACUAUAGGACUCUGUCUCUAGUUUGUUGGUUUACUGGAGCCGGGGUAAUGAUUAAUAGCGACGGUUGGGGUCAUUCGUACUGCAAAGCGAGAGGUGAAAUUCUUGGACCUUUGUAUGACGAACAACUGCGAAAGUAUUUGACUAGGACGUUCGCGUUGAUCAAGAACGAAAGUUGGGGGAUCGAAGACGAUCAGAUACCGUCGUAGUCUCAACCAUAAACUAUGCCAGCUAGGGAUGAGCGAAUGUUAUCUACUGACUUCGUUUGCACCUUAUGAGAAAUCAAAGCAUUUGGGUUCCGGGGGGAGUAUGGUCGCAAGGCUGAAACUUAAAGGAAUUGACGGGAGGGCACCACCAGGAGUGGAGCCUGUUGCUUAAUUUGAUUCAACACGGGAAAACUUACCAGGUCCGGACAUAGUAAGGAUUGACAGAUUGAAAGCUCUUUCUUGAUUCUAUGGGUGGUGGUGCAUGGCCGUUCUUAAUUGGUGGAGUGAUUUGUCUGGUUAAUUCCGUUAAC